UACGUAGGGUGCAAGCGUUGUCCGGAAUUAUUGGGCGUAAAGAGCUCGUAGGCGGUUCGUCGCGUCGGCUGUGAAAACCUGAGGCUCAACCUCAGGCCUGCAGUCGAUACGGGCGGACUUGAGUACUGCAGGGGAGACUGGAAUUCCUGGUGUAGCGGUGAAAUGCGCAGAUAUCAGGAGGAACACCGAUGGCGAAGGCAGGUCUCUGGGCAUUAACUGACGCUGAGGAGCGAAAGCAUGGGGGAGCGAACAGG
rnacentral:rRNA from 1 species